UACGUAGGGUGCGAGCGUUAAUCGGAAUUACUGGGCGUAAAGCGUGCGCAGGCGGUUUUGUAAGCCAGAUGUGAAAUCCCCGGGCUUAACCUGGGAAUGGCAUUUGGGACUGCAAGGCUGGAGUUUGGCAGAGGAGACUGGAAUUCCCGGUGUAGCAGUGAAAUGCGUAGAUAUCGGGAGGAAUACCGAUGGCGAAGGCAGGUCUCUGGGCUAUAACUGACGCUCAUGCACGAAGGCCAGGGGAGCAAACGGG
rnacentral:rRNA from 1 species